AUGGGGCCUGCUGCCGAGUCUCUGAUCCUCUCCGGGAGGAACAUGACGCUGGUCGCUCAGAAGCUCCAUCUUCAGCCGGACUGUCAGAGCCACCAGGAGGAGCUAGUGACCACAGCUCAGCGGAUCCUAGUGGCCACCACGAAGACCAAAGAUCAGCUCAUCACCUCUGCUAGGAAAAUUGCGACUUCUGGACAAAACUUCGCCAAACUUAUCUGCAUCAUUGCUAAGAACUGCACAGAUCAAAGAUGUUCCCAGGAGCUUCUGUGUGCGGUAGAGCAGAUUCAGACAGUGAGCAGCCAGCUCCGCAUCAUCUCCGGUGUAAAGGCCUCCCUGGCCAGAAGCAAGUCCUCUGAAGAGCUCCUGGUAGAAAAUGCACAGCAGCUCCUCUGUGCUGUCUCCAAGACUGUGGGGGCUGCAGAAGCCGCAAGUCUCCGGGUAAGUGCUGACCCCAAUAGCAUCAUUCACACAGCACCAUUGGGGUCACAGGCUGAGAGAAAUGUGGUAAAUUUCAGAAAUUGAUGAGGAAAA
rnacentral:lncRNA from 1 species